rnacentral:rRNA from 1 species
AGAACGAACGCUGGCGGCAGGCUUAACACAUGCAAGUCGAGCGCCCCGCAAGGGGAGCGGCAGACGGGUGAGUAACGCGUGGGAACAUACCCUCCGGUUCGGAAUAGCUCAGGGAAACUUGGAUUAAUACCGGAUACGGCCUAGCGGCGAAAGAUUCAUCGCCGGAGGAUUGGCCCGCGUCUGAUUAGCUAGUUGGUGGGGUAAUGGCCCACCAAGGCGACGAUCAGUAGCUGGUCUGAGAGGAUGAUCAGCCACAUUGGGACUGAGACACGGCCCAAACUCCUACGGGAGGCAGCAGUGGGGAAUAUUGGACAAUGGGCGCAAGCCUGAUCCAGCCAUGCCGCGUGAGUGAUGACGGCCUUAGGGUUGUAAAGCUCUUUCGCUAGGGACGAUAAUGACGGUACCUAGACAAGAACGCCCCGGCUAACUUCGUGCCAGCAGCCGC